GGGCCCGACCGGUUUUGACAGUAAGCGCAUCGGAUAGGUAAGCAUGUAGAGCGUUGUAAGACGAGCUCUUUAAACUGAACUUUCAAAACUUUUAUUUGGCGAAGAUAACUCUUACGCUAUGGCUGCUUAAUUUAGAAUUAAGUGUCCUUUGCUUUCCAGGGAGCUAAGUUGCUCUGCGCCUUGGGUAAAGCAUCAUAAAUGUGCAAUUUGUUUUACAAAUGUUACUAUGUAAAACAAUAUUAGUAACUAAGUUAAAGAUUGGUUUGAUAUAACGCCUGCCUUUAGCCUACAACCAAGUUAUAACUAAACGUGUAGAAAGCUUAUUUUUUCCUUAUUUGGACGAGAGUUCGAAUCUCUCCGGGUCCACGU
rnacentral:tmRNA from 1 species